AAAAUAUAAUUAUUACAUAUAAUUAUUCAAAUGAUUAUUGUAAAAAACUUCUAGUUGGCCAUUAUAAACAUCUAAAAACGUAUGAGAUUUUUCUUUAUAUUAAAAUAACACUAAAGUAUACCGACUGCAUGUUUGUUUUCUUUUUGUAACUGGACCUACCGACUGCAUGAUUCACGUUCUUUCUCGAAAUGUAAACUAGAACGGUCAACAAGAAAAAACUAGAAAGGUCGUUUAAAGCAUAACUGUAAGAUAAGAUGUAUGAAAGACAUUCUACUUUCACACCUACACAAACACAUACGUAACGUAAGUUCGUAACUAUAGACACAAUAUAAGGAGUGCAUAACUAAAGUGCGGCGCGAUACAAUCGUAGUUCAUGUAUUAAACAUGAUAAAUAUGGUUUUCAUAAAAAAAGUUGUGAAAUAAUAUUGUUUGAUUGAUAAAAAUAUGUUUGCUAUUUUAUAAUUUUUAUUUUUUAAUCAAAUUUUAAAAAAAUUGAGUUUUGAUAUUGAAACGGUCCACUGGCUUUGGCGAAUUUGAUUAGUUUUGACCUAUUUCUUGUUAAAUUAAAUACUUCAUUUUUUUCCGAAAGUAAGAUUUUCUAGAGUAUACACGUUUAUUAAGAAUUUAAUAAAUAUUUAUAAUUUAAUUUAUUUUUUUACUUUACUAUACACUUUACAAUAACUUUUCAUCAAUGAAUUUAAUCAAUUCAAAUAUUUUCAAUUAAUGUUUCUCAAAAAAUAUAAAAAGUACCUUAACAAUAUAGAAAAUCUAUCUUUGUGGAACAAAAAAAAUCUAAAAAAUUUUACUUCCGAGAACGGAGGGAGUAUGUUUUAAUACAACAAGUAACCGAAUAGAGAAGCAAGUCACAGAUUGACAGGUCGGUUUUUCUGGUUUUCAAAACACUAGUUAAAAUUAAAUAUAACUAAAAUUUUAAUUAUAAAUUAAUAUAUAUGAUUUUUUAAAAAUAAUAUAAGGACUACUAUUUCGUUGGUGAAAAUAUUUACUUUUGAUUAAUUUUAAUAUUUUAAUUGAUAAAAAUUUGUAAAAAGGAUGAAGUAUGUUAAUUUCAAAAAAUAUAUGUUUGAAAACGCAAAUACUAAUGCUAAUGCGGAAUUUGAAACUAAUGUAUGUUUAUUUGUUUUUAGUUAAUUAUAAAUUGAAAACACUAAUGCUAAUGCGGAAUUUGAGAAUAUUGUAUUAUUAACUGCACAGUUUAGGAAAACGCAAAUACUACUAUUGUUUAUUGUUUUUAGAAAACACAAACAACACAGUUUUAUUUUUGAUCGGUGACUAAAGACGUUUUUUGAAAAUGCGUUUAUUUAUGUAUCCAUACAAAGUGAUAUGGAAUAAAAGUGAGUUGCCGUGCGUUAUUUAGUAUAAGUGUGAUUUUGAUAAAAUAAACGGUGCAAAAUAAUUUCGAUUAGUGAAAAAAUAGUUUGUGGUUCUGAUAAAAAAUAAUAAUAGCAAUGUAAAAUAUUUUAUCUUCAUUUUCAAAAUCAAAACUGAAAAAUGAGUUUUGAUAUUUAAUCUGGUUGAAACCGAGCUGAACUCAAAGAAUUUAGACCAGAUGAAAAUUGUUCUGAAUCUGACCCGACGAUAAGAAAAUGUUGGCCUAUACAUAAUUUAAACUAGAUUAUGACUCGCGCCGUGGCGCAUGAUUAUGUUUAUUUAUAUUUUAACUCAGUUUCAAAUUUAACAAAUUAUGAUUUGAAGGUAUUGCUUAACUUUAGUGUAAAAUAUUUGUGUAAAUUGUUAUGCUUUUACUUGAGUGAAUUGGAUAGUUUAUGAGCUUUGAACCAUAGAUUUAUUUAAAAGUUAUAUUUAUGUAUCUUGUUAGAUACUCUAUUUUAUUUAAUAUUAAUACUACUAAUACACAAUCUGUAAAAAUAUUAAAAUAUAGUUUAUAAAUAAUUAGAAAAAAAAUAUUGUUAAUCGUUAAACUUAAUUUUUUAGAUUGAAGACCAUGAAUUUUUAAUUAGUUAUAUGAAAAUAAUUUGAAAUAUGUACCAUAUAUAAAGUGUUAUGGAGAACUAAUUUACUUGAGUGAUGUUAGAUUUUAUAAAAGAUGACUUUUAUAAACAUCUUUCUAUCUGUUUUUUUGGAAAUAUUAUUACGUUUCUUUUGACAAUAAAACAUACAAAAUUAAUAUGCUUAGAAAAAAAUUAUAACUUUUCUAAUAAUAUUUUAAAAUUAAAAAAUUCUAGAGUGUUGAUUCUAAAAGUAAAUAGUUUUCAUACGAAUUCUUUAAUCAGUUUUAAACGGUAACAUCUUUGAGUAAGGUGAUAAGUUUGAAAAAAUAACCAUUGGAAAUAAAUUUACUUUUCACAUAGUAUUUUACGGGUUUAUUGUGAUUGGAAAAAAAAGCUACAUAACUCCUUAUAUAUAUAUAUAUAUAUAUAGUGUAAAGUCUAUUGUUGGUCCAUCUUAUUUCUAAAUUUAACUAAUUAAACUAAUAUUAUACUCAAAUCUGCGGGGAAGCGCGAUAUAAUUUACAAUUUAUUAUAUUAUUAGAAUUAAUAGUAAUGUAAUUAAUUUUAUUAUUAAAAUUCAGAUUUAUUAAAAGUGUUUUGUCAAUUAUCAAAAGGUUAUAACGGUUUAACUAAAAUUGACCUCAUUAAUAUUAUAAGUUAGAAAAAUAUAAGAAUAAUAGCCAAUCAAAAUUUUUAAAGCUUUAAACUAAUCUUUGAUUAUAUAAAUUAUUAUUAAACCAUUAAACCAUCCUAAUUUUUUAAUUCAAUUAAGAUAAUAAUAUAUUUAUAUCAAAAAAGCAGAUUUUUAAAAUAUAUAUAUUUUUAAAUUAAAAUAUCUCUUUACAUAAAUAUUGUAUAUUAAACUAUUACUUUUUUUGUUACAUUAAUUUAAAACCUUCAUCAUUAUAUAGUUUGCAUAGCCUAUUUUCAAAAUUUCAUAUAUUCUACUAUUCUUAUAUUAUUAUAACAAUAUUUUCAGUUUCAAAUAAAAUAUGAAUCCCAAAAUAUUAUGUAUAUACUUAGAUGCAAAAAGUCAUAUAUAUAUAUAUAUAUAUAUUUACGAUAUAUAGAGAAUAUAUAUACCUAAGAUUAUGUAAACGAGAUAUAUACUUUCAAGUAAAUAUAUUUACUAUUUAAAUAUAUAUUAUUUUCGAAAUUAUGGUUAAGAUCACGUUACAAAACCUACUUGCAAAGAUGUAGGAGAAUAACAUUCUUUCUAAAAUUUUAAAAUAUUAUACUUUUAAUUGAUUAAAUUAAUUAAUAAAUAAGACAUAUUAAAUUUUUAGUGAAUUGAUCUAAAAACAUUUAUAAAAAGAUAAAAUAUAAGACUUUAAAUUAAUAGAUUAGAUACAGUUUGAACAUAAAAUGGAACCAAAUAACCAAUCUGGACGGAUUAAAAAGGAAACUUACAUGAAAAUGUAAUAGUAAAGUUACUUAAUUAAGUACAAACGACGAAGAAGACCAAACAAAUUAAUAAUUGAAUACGGAAGUUGAAGCAAACAGAAAGAAAAGUCUAACAACACAAUAAACAAUUGUCAAAACGAAAAGUCCAACGUGAGGUUCUUGGAGCAUGCAUGGAUUUGUUUUUGUCAUUUUUAACGUGCGCUCACAUAUAAUCAAACCCUCUUAAUGAUUUUCGACUGAAAGUUUUAUUUGUUUAUUUUUGUUAUAAAACGUUUCCAUUUCAAACAUAGGACAGCCCACCGCCCACGCAGUCAAACAUACGUUCCAAUCAGGAUAGUCUUAAAAUUUUGUAGACAAUUUAAUAAAACUAUAUCUUUUAAUAAAUUUAAGGGCUUAUAUAUAUAUAAUAUUCUUUUAAGUUGGGGUUAUAGAUCAAUGUUUUCCAAUCUAUGCUCAUAAUAAAGUCCUAUUUAAAAUAGUAAAAACAAUUGUAUUCGUCAAAUCAAGCAUCAUGUGAGAAAAUGCAUAUCACACAUAUUAAUAGUUUAUAAUAGUUUAAAUAGUAAAACAGUUCAAACAAAACAUAAUAUAUAUUUAAAUAAAUUACAAUUAAAAAUAUUUUUUAUAAAAUUUAUAAAUUAUUUUUAAGAUGAAUACAUGUGAAUGCGAAAAAAUUUCGAGACGUUUUUUUAUACAAGAUUUCCGAAAAAAUCUUCUUAGAAAAGACUUCACUAACCACAGAGAAAACUUCACAGAAUUAUAUUCGUAAAAGUGCUUAUAGGUUUUUUGUUUGGUAAUAAGAGGUGAUUGUAAUUUUACUAAUAUUUUAAGUUAGUUUUGCAUUUGAUUCAAUUUGAGAUAUACUUUUGCAUUUAAAAUCAAGUUUUGAAUCAUUUUUAGAAAAUUUCAAAAAUUAAAAUACAUAAAUAUCUAUAAAUAUUACACUAAAACUAUGUACUACCAUUUUAAAAUCAAAAAUAUGAAAAUCGUUAGCGAUUAAUAAAAUACAUCUAUCUUCCAUUAGUAUAAUUAUGUUCACUGUAAUACUAUAUAUUUACAUAAUAAAUACUAUAAUUAAAACAAACACAUUAUAAAAUAUAACAAUUUAAAUAAAUGUAACAUUUUACAUGAGUUUGUAAAUGCUUUGCUGUCAAAAAUAAAAAAUAAAAAAUAAAUGUAAAAAUUAUAUGAGACAUGAAUAAAAAGAGAGAUAAAUAGUAUUGUUUUGUUAGUAAAAUAAAAUGAAGAUAUGGUAUUUAUAGAAGAAGAUUAAAUAUAAUUUAGAAUUAAUUAUUUGUAACGAAUUAACUAUUUAUAACAAAAUUAUUUAAAGGCUAAGAAAAUAAGAAAAUGGAUAAACAA